rfam:Anoxybacillus sp. B7M1, complete genome.
CGCGGGGUGGAGCAGCCUGGUAGCUCGUCGGGCUCAUAACCCGAAGGUCGCAGGUUCAAAUCCUGCCCCCGCAA